ACGAGAAGACCCUAUAAAUCUUUAUAUUUAGAUUAUUAUAAUUUUCUAGAUUUUUUUUGUUAUAAUAAUCAAUGAUAUUUUAUUGGGGUGAUAUUAAAAUUUAAUAAACUUUUAAUUGUUAAAAUCAUUAAUUUAUGAAUAAUUGAUCCGUUAUUAGCGAUUAAAAAAAUAAGUUACUUUAGGGAUAACAGCGUAAUUUUUUUGGAGAGUUCAUAUCGAAAAAAAGAUUGCGACCUCGAUGUUGGAUUAA
rnacentral:rRNA from 1 species